GACGAACGCUGGCGGCGUGCUUAACACAUGCAAGUCGAACGGUGAACUCCGCUUGCGGGGGGAUCAGUGGCGAACGGGUGCGUAACACGUGGGCAACCUGCCCUCAGCUCUGGGAUAACUCCAAGAAAUCGGGGCUAAUACCGGAUAUGACCGCUGACCGCAUGGUCUGGUGGUGGAAAGAUUUAUCGGCUGGGGAUGGGCCCGCGGCCUAUCAGCUUGUUGGUGGGGUAGUGGCCUACCAAGGCGACGACGGGUAGCCGGCCUGAGAGGGUGACCGGCCACACUGGGACUGAGACACGGCCCAGACUCCUACGGGAGGCAGCAGUGGGGAAUAUUGCGAAAUGGGCGAAAGCCGGACGCAGCGACGCCGCGUGGGGGAUGACGGCCUUCGGGUGGUAAACCUCUUUCAGCAGGGACGAAGCGAAAGUGACGGUACCUGCAGAAGAAGCACCGGCCAACUACGG
rnacentral:rRNA from 1 species